rnacentral:lncRNA from 1 species
GGGCCGUUGUGGGGGCCGAGCCCGGCCGCGCGCACAGCUUCUAGUGGCCCGCAAGAUUCCUCCUGGGGCGGCGCUGGGAGCCUCGGGGCUCGGCUUCCUCGACCCCCGCCCCCAGGUUUCCUCUGCAGCCUGAGGUCGGGAAGGACGGACGGAGAGUGGAUCCUCCAGGUGGUGGGAAAAGCUUAACAGCCUGGUGCCAGUUACCCUGCGAUGGGAGAGGGGGCAGCCCCCAUAGAAGCACGGGCUUAUGGGACCCGGGUUCCUUCAGUGCUCACCCACGAAGAAGGGCUCCCAAACGGCCCCACUCGACGGCUCACCGGAGGAUGGUCCUGCGCAGUGGGUGUUUGUUGAACAGAUAAGAGACAACAAAACAGACUAAGAAGAGGCCUGUUCUAUGAACCGGGGAAAGUGAAGGAAUCACAAAGAGCGGCUCGCCUUAGGGCAAUCCUGGGGAAAAGAUGGAGAGGCAUGGAUUUUUCUUGGAUGUGUGCCUCAUCCUGGGGCUCAUCCCUCUGAGCAUCAAAUAUUCAUUGCAAAAGAGGGGGAAAAACUCUGCUGCGGACAAUGCUGGAUGGUCUGAUCUCUCCCUUGGCCAGAAUUAACGGGGCAAUUCCUAACCCCUGUUGGUCCUCAGAAUCACCUGGCCUAUGCACACUCCCGCUAAACCACUGAAGUCCAAUUUCUGGGAGCUCAGCCAGGGAAUGUGUAUUUUUAAACAAGCCCCCUAGGUUACUCUGAUAAGUGCAAAGUCAGAGAGCGCUGCUCUCAUGCACUGAGCCUGAGCACUCUUCUAUUAAUAAAAAAGGAGAGGAGAAUCCUGGGUUGGGUGCCCUUCGCCUUCUGGCGGCAGAAGAGCAGAGCCAGGCUCUAAGCACCUGCACCCACCGCUGGGCUCAGGAGCUGCGCUGGAGAAUAGAAGGGCUAAUUUAGUCAUUCAUGCCUUUUUAGAGCAAAUUACAUGUGGAGAGGGUGGGGCACACUGAAUUUUAUUUUAGCCAAAUGCCCCUUAUCUCCUUAUGCAAUUGAUAUUUUUAUAUUGAACAUUAGAGGAUUGGUCAUUUGUCAUCAAGUCGUCUGUAAUACAGAAAACGAUAAAUACAACCUAACAGUUCAAACAUGACGAGUUAAAUAAAUGAUGGUUAAAAAUAUACGCUGCGAUAAUAUUUAAUUGCUGUUACCACUACGAAGAUAAGUGUCGACUGACAUGGAAAUAUGUUCAGGUCAAACAAAUAAAUGAAAAGGCAGGCCUGGA